rnacentral:lncRNA from 1 species
UAAAGCCUAAGGAGUAGCUAACAAGCAAUAAAAGAAAGCAAGUAAAAACAUACAUCUGAAAGGGGAGGGGGUACAGGUAAAAUAUAAGGGAGUGUAGGAAAUAAAAUGUCUCAUUGUCAGGUAGCUCAAGAGAAAAUCGUGUGUGUGCAAUUAUGUCCUAAACUAGAAAGCACAUAAAAGAUUACAAGCCCUUAAAAGAUUACAACAUAUUCUUGAUUCUUGAAAGCUCCUUUUCAUGUUCGGAUCACAUUUGUCCAAGGCCUUUUGCAAGGGAUCCUAAUGAGUCUCUAAGUCCAUUGUCCA